GGAUGGUCUUCUUCAGGCCAACUCGACUUAGUAGCAUUGCAAGUUUCUGUAGUAUUUUAAGAGGCUUGGUGAUAUUGCAGAAGGCUUUUUGAUCUUGCUUUCUCUAGUUGUAUAUGGUUCAGAAUCCUCGAUGCAUGGCGUUAAAUGGAAGGUAAUCCCUAGAGAAAAAUAUCAUAGUAUCUAAACUAUAAUCCCAGUGCAUUUCUUUCUAUGCUUAGUAGAAUUAAUAUCGAAAUAAGUUGCAAUGUUGUUCAUAGAAUUUAUUGCACUUGGUUGAUGUUGAUAUAGUUACAUAUAUGGGUUUUGGAUAGCAAGUUAAUGAUCUUUCCGAGUCCUUGAAAUAAUGUCAUUGUUCAUUGUUGUAUGUGAAAAUAAGUUAUGAAUAAUUCUGCAUUGGUGG
rnacentral:misc_RNA from 1 species